ACCGAAACGACAAAAGGCAGCUCAAAUCAAACUUAAUGAACUUUCGAACUUUAGACUUACAAAAACUCAUGCAGAAACAUAUCAAAUCAACUUGGAAUGACACACUAGUCAUAAUACAUCAUACAGAGCUACUAGUUCCCUCAAACUACCAAGCAAAGUGUAAAUGCUCAAAACCAUUGGUCGGGUCGUUACAAGCCUGAUAUCAGUUGUAUCUGUUGCAGCUAAUGCACUACCGGCACCUUCCAUAGGUUCACUCUCCAGAAUACCACUCGGUGACAUCAAAGUCCCACUCAUUCUCUGACUUUCUUCCUAUAUGAGCAUAGAAUACGCUUAAUCAAGUAUGGGAGUGGGGUUUAUCAUCAAAAUCUGACACCUUUGAGGUGCAUAGGUAUCAUUUAGUCCCAUCAAAAAUUUCAUUAGCUUCUAUUGGCGUACGAACUCAAUAAAUAUCCUAGAUAUCGCACAAUCACAACGAGGAUAGGGUAUAAUUGACUCAAAUUAGCCCACAAAUCAUUCAAUUUCGAGUAAUAUAUCGAUACACUGGAGAUUCCCGUUAGACUACUUAUUUUUGUGUUCAUAUGACAAAUUUUUGUUGCAUUUACCUUAUUAAUACAUUCCUUGAAGGCUUCCCAUACCAUAUGUGUGUUUGAUGAAUACACUAUUCCUUUCCUCAUCAUGUGCUAUAGAGCUCAUUAUCCACGACUGGACAAUGGCAUUGCAUCUCUCCCACUGAUGCAAUUGAAAGCUAUAUGCUUCGUAGUCUCUCUAACACACAAUCCAUCUAUAAAUCCGAUUUUAUUCUUUACGAGCAGAGACAUCUUCAUUGAUCAACUCCAUUCCGAGUAGUUCUAUGUUCCUAUAAGCAAUUGUGGCACCAAUGCCACUCCUGGCGUAUCUGAUGGAUGCACAUAGAGUGGAUCGUUACAAUCAAGUUGUUGAGAGUUUGCAUGUGAGGUCCCAACUACGUUUUGAGGUGUAUUGACUGACAUUUUGGAUUUUAGUGAAGGGUUUGGUAUGGAAUUUAGCAGAGACGAGAGUUAACUAAUAAAUUAGGGAAAAUUGAAUCUGAGAAGAGGAGAAAUCAGAUCUGAGCAUCUAGCGACUAUCAAUAUCGAUCGUUGUGAGCCUAGCUCUAAUACCAUGAUAACAUUCAUUGCUGCCAUUGAAGCUCGUCUGUAGAAAGAGUAAGAAAGGGAAGCUAAGAGGGAGAAGAAGAGUAGUUAAGCAGAGACAGUUCUUUAGGGAAAUUUUUGUUCUAUUUC
rnacentral:lncRNA from 1 species